GAAAUGUGAUAAGUAAUGUGAAUUGCAGAAUUCAGUGAAUCAUCGAAUCUUUGAACGCACAUUGCGCCCGCCAGUAUUCUGGCGGGCAUGCCUGUCCGAGCGUCAUUUCAACCAUCAAGCCCCCGGGCUUGUGUUGGGGACCUGCGGCUGCCCGCAGGCCCUGAAAACCAGUGGCGGGCUCGCUGUCACACCGAGCGUAGUAGCAAUCACCUCGCUCAGGGCGUGCUGCGGGUUCCGUCCGUUAAACAGCCUUACAAAACCCAAGGUUGACCUCGGAUCAGGUAGGAACACCGGCUGAACUUGAGC
rnacentral:misc_RNA from 1 species